rnacentral:ncRNA from 1 species
UUGAUAGAGGUGCGGUUUGCAUCAGUAGUGUGCGUUUUUCGGUUGACAGGUCGGCACACGAAAGGGAAAACCGCCGAAACAGGGAUUUUUCUGUCAAGGAAUUUCUGUUGGUUUGCAGUAGAACAUACUGCCGACUGUCACGUUUGUGGAGGGCUAUCGGU